rnacentral:rRNA from 1 species
AGCAGCCGCGGUAAUUCCAGCUCCAAUAGCGUAUAUUAAAGUUGUUGCAGUUAAAAAGCUCGUAGUUGAAUUUCGGGAUUAGUACGUUGGUCGUGCCUUCGGUACGUACUGGUGUUACUGAUUCCUACCUUCUGACGAACCAUCAUGUCAUUAAUUUGGUGUGGCGGGGAAUCAGGACUGUUACUUUGAAAAAUUAGAGUGUUUAAAGCAGGCUCGCGCUUGAAUACAUUAGCAUGGAAUAAUGAAAUAGGACGUUGACCCUAUUUUGUUGGUUUCUAGGAUUGACGUAAUGAUUAAUAGGGAUAGUUGGGGGCAUUAGUAUUCAAUUGUCAGAGGUGAAAUUCUUGGAUUUAUUGAAGACUAACUACUGCGAAAGCAUUUGCCAAGGAUGUUUUCAUUAAUCAAGAACGAAAGUUAGGGGAUCGAAGACGAUCAGAUACCGUCGUAGUCUUAACCAUAAACUAUGCCGAC